rnacentral:rRNA from 1 species
CGCUAAACAACUAGCCCAGACACUACGCGUAAAAUUUAAAUAUAAAUAACCUGAAAGACCCUCAACUGGCAAAUUGAAUCAUCCUCCCUCUUUAGUAUAGGUGAUAGAAACCGAAUUCUUGGAGCGACAGAUAAAGUACCGCAAGGGAAAGUUGAAAUACCCCAUGAAAAUCCUUAAGCGUAUAAAAGCAGAGCUAACCCCUCGUACCUUUUGCAUCAUGAUCAAGCUAGUCAUCUCAGGCAGAGCGAUCUUUAGUCUGACCCCCCGAAACCAAGUGAGCUACUUCGAGUCCGUCCAUUAAGGGACUAACCCGUCUCUGUGGCAAAAGAGUGGGAAGAACUCUGAGUAGAGGUGAUAAACCUACCGAACUUGGUGAUAGCUGGUUGCCCAGGAAGUGAAUAUAAGUUCAGCCCCACCCCCCCUCACACCACCCCUAUAAUUAUUCUCAAGCCAUUGGCUUACGCGGGAGGUGGGAGUUACUCAGGGGAGGUUCAGCUCCCCUGAGGCAGGACACAACCUUACUAAGGUGGGCAAAAAUCAUACUAAUUAAGGCUACGCAGCCCCAGUGGGCCUGAAAGCAGCCACCUGAUUUGAUAGCGUUAAAGCUUAAGCUGUAGUACCCCAUUUAUCCUGAUAUCUAGUUUUUUCCCCCUACCCAUACUGGGCCCUUUUAUUUACCAAUAAAAAAGAUUAUGCUAGAACGAGUAAUAUGAGGAGCUAAUCCUCUCCCUGCAUAAGUGUACCCCGGAAUGGAUAAUCCGCCGGACAUAACUCGAUCCCAACUCAAAGAGGGUAGCGGACAUAAAAUAAAAACCUAGUAAAUCACCCGCGCUUAUAUCGUUGACCUAACACAAGAAUGCAACCAGGAAAGACUUAACGAGGGGGAAGGAACUCGGCAAACACUAGCCCCGCCUGUUUACCAAAAACAUCACCUCUUGCCUUAUACAUAUAAGAGGCCCCGCCUGCCCGGUGACGAAAGUUUAACGGCCGCGGUAUUAUGACCGUGCAAAGGUAGCGUAAUCACUUGUCUUUUAAAUGGAGACCUGUAUGAAAGGCGACACGAGGGCAAAUCUGUCUCCCCCCUCCAGUCAAUGAAACUGAUCUCCCCGUGCAGAAGCGGGGAUACAACCACAAGACGAGAAGACCCUGUGGAGCUUCAGACUUUGGUAAGCCUGCCUCAACCCCUCUGACAAAGGAGGGUUAACACAGCAUCCCCUUAUUUAAAUGUCUUUGGUUGGGGCGACCACGGAGAUAAUUUUAACCCCCGCGCGGAUAGGGACUUUCCUAUAACCCAGAGCUACAGCUCUAAGUGUCAAGACUCUUGACCUUCUAUGAUCCGGCCCGCCGAUCAACGAACCAAGUUACCCCAGGGAUAACAGCGCAAUCCUCUUUUAGAGCCCAUAUCGACAAGGGGGUUUACGACCUCGAUGUUGGAUCAGGACAUCCUAAUGGUGCAGCCGCUAUUAAGGGUUCGUUUGUUCAACGAUUAAAGUCCUACGUGAUCUGAGUUCAGACCGGAGAAAUCCAGGUCAGUUUCUAUCUGUGAGAUGAUCUUCUCUAGUACGAAAGGACCGAGAAGAUAGGGCCCAUGCCAAUGGUAAGCCCUAUCCCUACCCGCUGAAGCUAACUAAAGAGGCCCAAGGGAUGUGACCGUGCGCCAGAAAGCAUGGCUA